rnacentral:rRNA from 1 species
ACUCCUGCGGGAGGCAGCAGUGGGGAAUAUUGGACAAUAGGCGCAAGCCUGAUCCAGCCAUGCCGCGUGAGUGAUGAAGGCCCUAGGGUUGUAAAGCUCUUUCACCGGUGAAGAUAAUGACGGUAACCGGAGAAGAAGCCCCGGCUAACUUCGUGCCAGCAGCCGCGGUAAUACGAAGGGGGCUAGCGUUGUUCGGAUUUACUGGGCGUAAAGCGCACGUAGGCGGACUAUUAAGUCAGGGGUGAAAUCCCGGGGCUCAACCCCGGAACUGCCUUUGAUACUGGUAGUCUUGAGUUCGAGAGAGGUGAGUGGAAUUCCGAGUGUAGAGGUGAAAUUCGUAGAUAUUCGGAGGAACACCAGUGGCGAAGGCGGCUCACUGGCUCGAUACUGACGCUGAGGUGCGAAAGCGUGGGGAGCAAACAGGAUUAGAUACCCUAGUAGUCCCA